AGCUUAAAUAUAUUGUUUUGUGUGUAAAUUGAAAGGAACGUUGCAUGAACCAACACUUAUGCCUAAGCAUUUCUUCCUUUCCUUAGAUUAUUUCAAGUGGGAAGAGAAUAGAUUUCCAAAUGAACCAACAGCAAUAUGGAAUGGAAGAGCGCCAGGAGAUCUGCAAGGCUGUAUGAUAAGCUCCAGGCAAGGUGCCAUUUGUGGAUGAAACACCUAUCCUCUAACAAUGUGCCCCAAUAUCCCUAAAAUAAGACAAGACACAGAAGCUUAUAGGUCAGUUAAUGUAAUUGGUAGCAGUUGAGAAACAGGGGGAAAUUGUCAACAGCAAGUUUCAAGCUGCUAGUCCAAAGUUCAGGAAGACCACUGAAAAGAGCAGCUGUCAAAAUAAAGAGAAAUGUUUCACAAGAACUUCAGUCUAAUUAGUUGCGCAUCAUCUUUACACAGUCACCCAACAGGGGCAAAGAAAGCACAAACCUGUGCUUUCAGAUGACAGUUCUGGAAUUGUUACCAAUUCUUGGAAGAUGCUCAAAUAUUUUACCGUUUGGCAAAUAUGAAGUACACAUGUAUGUAUUCUUUUACUGGAUUUUAUUGGAUUUUGGGGGGAUUUGUCAUAGCUUUUUGUCAAAUAUAAUAAACAAUUGAUUGAC